AUGGUUGUCGUCAGCUCGUGCCGUGAGGUGCGGGUUAAGUCCCAUAACGAGCGCGAACCCCUAUCAUUAGUUGCCAUCAGGUUCAAGCUGGGGACUCUAAUGAAACUGCCUACGCAAGUAGUGAGGAAGGUGGGGACGACGUCAAGUCAUCAUGGCCCUUAUGUCCUGGGCUACACACGUGCUACAAUGGCCGGUACAGAGUGAAGCGAAACCGCGAGGUGAAGCAAAACGCAGAAAGCCGGUCUCAGUACGGAUUGGAGUCUGAAACUCGACUUCAUGAAGUUGGAAUCGCUAGUAAUCGCGCAAUCAGCAUGGCGCGGUAGAAUACGUUCCGGCCUU
rnacentral:rRNA from 1 species